AAAAGGUGGAUUUGUCUUUAUUUGAAGACUUAUUUUUGUUCCUUUUUGGGGUUUUGUUUUUCUGGUGUGGGGGGACUGGGAGUGCUGCGAAUCUCCUUUUUGCCCAAUGAAAACCCACAAUCAAGUACUGGGAAUCAUGAACUGAAGAAACAUGCAAUGAAAAGAUUAAGAAAAGGAGUCUAAGUGACCAUAUGAAGAGUGCAGGUUGUGAAGAUGGAGAAAUGGAUGAAAAGAGUGUGAAACUGGAUAGGAGUGAAAGGAUCGUGCCGUGCCGACUGAACACUUGCCCUUGACUGACACAUAAGUACACUAGCAAAGAGUGACUAAUCGGGAGUACUGUAUAUGGCAAACAGAGGGUAGAGGAAUAAAAGUGGGAGUGAAACAGGGGGGCAGAGUACAAGGAUGUGCUUGACGGUGUUCUUGUGAUAUAAUGGCUAGCGGAAAACAACUGUUAGAAUAUAUAGACUUUUGUAAAAUGUAUAGCUUUUGUGAAGCAAAAAAAUGCACAUAAGGAGCUGUUUCGGCUUUUGAACUUAAAGAAUUCUUCAUGUGAUGGUGGACUCUGUCCUCUCACUCUUCCACCCUCCAGGGUGAAUAAAGGUGGUUCUGUUGAAUUAUCUCUCUCAGGUCAAUGAUUUCUCCUAUGGCUUCUAACAGGAUGGGAUUGAUGAUGGAGUUCUUGGGAGUGUUCUGAGCCAGCAGGAGAAAUAGGGUUUGUUUUCCUUCAUGCUGGUGGAAGAAGAAGGAAGCCAUGGAGAGUUACACAGUAAG